GACGAACGCAGGCGGCGUGCCUAAUACAUGCAAGUAGGACGCAGUUGCGAACGGGCGAGUAACGCGUAGGUAACUACCUAUUAGAAAGGGAUAACUAUUGGAAACGAUAGCUAAUACCGCAUCCUCACCAAUGGACCUGCGUUGUAUACGCUAGUAGGUAGGGUAAUAGCCUACCUAGGCAACGAUACAUAGCCGAUCUGGUAGGGUGAUCGGCCACACUGGGACUGAGCCACGGCCCAGACUCCUACGGGAGGCACAAGUAACGAAUCUCCGGCAACGGGGGGAAGCCUGACCGCGACACGCCGCGUGCGUGAAGAAGGUAUUCGGAUCGUAACGCUAUGUUGUUCAGGAAGCGGUACUUAACCAGAAAGGGUCGGCUAACUACGUGCCAUCAGCCGCGUUAAUAC
rnacentral:rRNA from 1 species